rnacentral:tRNA from 1 species
GGGCGAUUAGCUCAGUUGGUAGAGCGUCUCGUUUACACCGAGAACGUCGGCGGUUCGAGCCGGUCAUCGCCCA